UACUCGGGAGGCUGAGGCAGGAGAAUGACGUGAACCCAGGAGGCCAAGCUUGCAGUGAGCUGAGAUCACACCACUGCACUCCAGCCUGGGGGACAGAGUGAGAAUCCAUCAAAAAAAAGAAACAAGAAUACAAUAGCACAAUUCAUGUGACAACCACAUGUAGGUUUAGUGAUGUUUGUUCUCUGUGAAGCUAAGCUAUCUCAGCUAGGUGGUUGAGGACAUUUGUACUGUCUGGACUAGGCAGAGGUGAAUAUGAUUGAAUGUGUAAGACAGUGCCAAUUAUGUACCAUAUAUAGCUGUGUGUGUUUCCUUCUGUCUAAAAUAUCAACCUAUGCUUGCCUUUAAUCUCAUCCUCAAUUGCAAUGCUCAAAACCCCUCCUAGUGUCAUUAUAUUGUCAAAAAAUACUCUGAAUCACAGGUUUAGAGAGAUAAAAAUUCUAACUUCUCUUAAAGAAACAACGUCUGAAAAUCUUUUCAUUUGUGUUGUUCCACAUGAAAUGACUUUAAGUGUUGAAUGUGCACAUUAUUCCUACAUUCUGAGACUUAGAUUUAUAGCUUAUGAGUUGUCCUUCUAAAGGUAUACUCUUCAUAUGCCAGUGACUCCCCAGCUUAUACAGCAGUUAUGCCUUAUUGGUGAGGGAUGCGUUCAAAGACUCCUUGUGGAUGCCUGAAACCUGUUACCAAACCCCAUAUAUCUCUAGUGCACAUCUAAAUCUGUGUUUAGACGAACAGAACCAGCUUUGUACCCGAUUAUCUUCACCAAGAUGUCUGACUUACGUAAAUCUCAAACUUGUCGUAUUUAACACAAAGUUCUUAAUUUCCUUCCUUUUUCAAGCCCACUUCUGCUGUGUUUUCUGUUUAAGUAAAUAACACUCAUCCAUUUAGUUAUGUCAAAAACCUAGGAAUUAUCCAUGACUUCUCUCUUACUCUUUCUGCACUUUAAAUGCAUCAGCUAGUACUGUCUUCAAGAAUGUAUCCUUUUUACCCAGUCCUCGCCAUCUCCUUUACUAUCCCCCUUGCCCAAGCCACUAUACUUUCAUCCUGCUGUGGAAGCAGUUUUCCAACCCUCCUUACUCUCCUUUUGACCACUUAAUAUACAUUCUUCACUAGCCAGAACAAUCUUUGAAAAAUGUAACCUACCAUAUGUCACUCCCCAUUUGAAAUGUUCCUAUUGGGAUUUUAAGAUGAUAUUAAAUACUCAUUUUCUCAGCUCUCAAGUCUGGAUUCAAUUGAGAGGCAGACAGAUUUGGGCAAAUGAGAUAAAAUAUUUGUUUUGUAUUGAUAAAUGGUUGGAUUGGCAGAUAUUGCCUUGUAUUGAGUAUGGUCGUAAAGACAUCACUAAUAUUUAACUUAUCUACCUAUUUAUUUUCCCUCACUUUGAAGUGUGGUUAGAAUUUGGAGGAAGCAAUUUCAUGAAGGUAGAAAUAAGAUUGCCCUCAUAAAAUAUGUUAUGUCCUCAUAAAAUAAAUAUUUAUAUAUUAUAUAUAAAAUAUAUAAAUUUAUUAUCUGAUCCUUCCCAAGAGAGAUUCCGCACCUCUGGUUGCCCUUAGGCUUAAUCAUUAAGCCAGAACCAUAAAGAGAACAAAAAACAUUACCUGUGCCCAACGUUUUAUGGCCUUUGUCACUCCUCAAGUAGUCUCUCCAAAGGAGGAAUGUCUGACGUGGUAAGUAAGUUUGAGAGGAAACUGGAUUUUGUUGGAUCCACCCCUUCUGAAGUCUCUUGUUGUCUUCCUCCCUCAAGAGAUGUCUGCCCUAUUUUCCACUUGUUUGGAAACUAUCUCCCCUGUCUGGUGUCCUUGCAGCUGUGCAUCUGUCAGUCUGUGCUGGUCUCACAUCGAGGUCACGCUGAUGAAAAAGGAACUACAGUACUGUUAUGUCAGUAACAUACAUCACAGUCGUACGUCUCCAGGCUUCUUAUCUUCCUUUGAACCUGACCUGGCUACUGUUUGGUGGAUUAUAGAGGAAAAGCUGUAAUGGGAAAGUAGGUUGGGUGAAGGGAUGAGAAAAAGGAAAGCAUCGUGGAGCACAUUAGCAGGCUUUCUCCAUGAAGAAGCAGGAUGAGUACCUUCUCACUGCCAAAGUAGUUGGAGGGACAUCAAACACCAGUGAUGGGAACACUGAACCUCACAUAAGAAGCACAUGAAGAACAGCAGUGAAACCAAGGAUUCUAGCAAGGCCAGCUAUUAGCAAAGCAGUAAGCAGGAACUGGACUAGAUACCAAAUGAUGGGGAAACAGACUCAUAGACCUAAGAACAUAGGAAGAAGAGAUGUAACAUCAACAGAAAGGCAAAAGGGGCAAUGCAGCAUCUCUGCCUUCUUCUGGGUAUUCCUCUUAAAUGGCUUGACAAUAACCACCAACCAGCACUGCCAUACAUGUGUCCUGUACCUAUCAGAGGCACUAGGGCAGUUUUGGAACAGAGAGCCCAUAGAAAGGCUACUGCUUAGAGAUAGCCAUUUUCUUCUUGGAGCUGGACCAGUGAAUUAGACGCAUGGAGGAGAGCUGGAAAAUCCCUUUUUGGAAGAGCUACACAAAACCAAAAUUUGGAAUUCGUAGCUAAUAACCAUAAAAAUUAAGAAAUGACUGUUGGAAGAGCACUGGAAAUCACCUGAUUAAGUUAAGAAAAACUAACUAGCUCAUGAGAAAAUUAUUUUCAGGCCAGCUGUAGCCUGUACCCUUUUGAAAAUCCCCUGACUAGUGAGUUCAUUUUUGUUGGAAUAUAGAAUUUUUCUUUUCUAAGCAGAUGUAAACUUGUCUUUCUGUGGUUGGCUUUGGAGCCCACAAGAUAAUUAAAUGGCAGUGCUAACUGAAAGCCUGGGCUGUGCUUAUAGGUUCAAGAGGCAGGUAGAAGACACUGGGUUGGGGAAGUAGGGCUAUGGAACUGUGGCUCUGGCUAAGAUUACUAAUGUCUGUGAGCGCUGGAAGAAGGGAAAUAGAAAUGAAAAAACAUGAAUAUGGUUGAUGGGCCAGACUGAGUGUUGAGGUCCUAUGAUGUAUCAAAGAAUGGCUUACAUGAAAGUUAUAAGGUGUGGAUGGAAAAGGUCAGUGUGGAAGAGAACAGAAUUACUAGCUUUAAAGCUCAGAGACAUCUGCUUUUCAGGAAAAAAAAAUACAAAAGUCUAUGAGUGAAGGAAGGAGACUAAGAGAAAGAAAGGUGAGGAAAAGAGGAAGAGAAUAAAAAGGAACAGAAAUGAGAAAAAUAUGACACAAGAAAAAAAGAAAAAUUAGGAGGAAGGAAAGAAGAAAGGAAGGCAGAGAGGGAGGAAAGGAAGGAAGGAGACAGGGAGGAGAAACAGAAAAAGAGAGAAUGAAAGAAGUGGAAAUCAAGAAAGAAACAACAUAAGAUUCUACAGAGAGGACUCAUUAUAGGCAAAAUAAGUAAAAGAAAUUUCUUUUGGCAUUGUCCUAUCUCCCUUGCAUUCUCAUCUACUAAGCCUUUUCUUCCCUGUGGGCAAUAUUAUUGGCAUGAGUAAACUCUCACCUUAAUAUUCCUAAUAACCAUAAGUUUGUCCUCUACUCCCUAAAACUACUGCCGUGUGUGCCAUGCUCCAAAGUAAUCUCUUAUUCUCACUUCGUAACCUUUCAUCUCAGCUGUGUGUCAGUUAAGAAGAAUUUCAUCAAACUAAGCCUCUUGGAUUUUAAAAGAAUGCUCUUGCCCAGUUAUAUCUUUAGUUGGCAUCAUUUCAGGUAUGAAAAGGCUCUGCUCUAUGUGCCCUUAUCAAUCCUGAAAGAGCUAUCUCCCCAAGCAAAAUGAGAAGGACAAUCAUAACUGGCUCAAGGCUAGUCCAAUCUGGCUCUGUCCUUAGAUCCAAAAAGUUGAAGUUGUAAGUGACCCUAGAAAUGAUCUAUUUCACACUUAUUGUCCAGACAAUGAAACUCCAGUGGAGAGUGGAUAGGACCCUUCUAGGGUCGCAUGAUUGCUAGUGGCAAAGCCAGGUCUGAAUCAUAUCACUGCUUAUGGAGAACUUGUUGCCCUCACCAUUGUCCUCAAAUUUCUCCUGUUGACAGCAGGAUCCCUCAGAGAAAAGAUAGCUCCAGCCAAAGAACUCAGUGUAGCCCCAUGAACUCUCCAAAUAAUCAUAAACACAGCUAUAGUAGACAAGAAAGGCUAUCUUCUCAUGACCCUUUCUGUGGUUAAAAUCCUGAAAAACUGGGCACUACGGCUAUAUUCCAAACAUUCUUGCAAAUAGUAUUUCCAGACACAGACAAUGAUUCUCAGAGAUUCUCACCAUAGACGGUGAGGCAGGCCGUUCCUGAGAUCUUCCCAAAACCAAAGGUAUUGAAGAGACACAUGUAAC
rnacentral:lncRNA from 1 species